rnacentral:sRNA from 2 species
GCGUUUUAACCGCUGAAUUCCUGCAUGCAGGAAACGGGGGAACCAACCGGAUGGCAUAUCUAUGCCAUCCAUGGGGUGAAUCAUCGAUCAGCAGACUGGUUGAUGUAGGGCGACUCUCACGCCCGAAUCCGGCAGCUAACCUCGUAAGCGUUCCGAGAGAGGCGAC